rnacentral:rRNA from 1 species
AUGCGGGACACCUCGUCGUCCGUGACCGCGUGGCCCACGCUCUCGAAGAGCGCCGCCAGCUCGGCCCGCGAGAUCCUGCCGUCGCCGUUGGCGUCGAACUUGCGGAACACGCGCUCCAUCUCGUCCUCCCGCACAGAGGGCGAGCGCGCGGGCGACGGCGGCAUCGACGACGACUUGGAGGAGGAGGAGCGCCGGCUGCCGCCGCCGCUGCGGCUGCGGGAGAAGAGCGCGCGCAUCUUGCCCAUGGAGAGGGAGAUGGAUGUGGUGGCGGUGCUGUCGCUGCGCGAUCAAGUGGGAGGUUUGGAUCGGAUGAUGUUGUGA